rnacentral:rRNA from 1 species
GGGCUGCAGUGGGGAAUUUUGGACAAUGGACGCAAGUCUGAUCCAGCCAUUCCGCGUGCAGGAUGAAGGCCCUCGGGUUGUAAACUGCUUUUGUACGGAACGAAAAGGUCUCUAUUAAUACUAGGGGCUCAUGACGGUACCGUAAGAAUAAGCACCGGCUAACUACGUGCCAGCAGCCGCGGUAAUACGUAGGGUGCAAGCGUUAAUCGGAAUUACUGGGCGUAAAGCGUGCGCAGGCGGUUAUGUAAGACAGAGGUGAAAUCCCCGGGCUCAACCUGGGAACUGCCUUUGUGACUGCAUAGCUAGAGUACGGUAGAGGGGGAUGGAAUUCCGCGUGUAGCAGUGAAAUGCGUAGAUAUGCGGAGGAACACCGAUGGCGAAGGCAAUCCCCUGGACCUGUACUGACGCUCAUGCACGAAAGCGUGGGGAGCAAACAGGAUUAGAUACCCUGGUAGUC